UACGAAGGGGGCUAGCGUUGUUCGGAAUUACUGGGCGUAAAGCGUGCGCAGGCGGCUGCUCAAGUCAGGGGUGAAAGCCCAGAGCUCAACUCUGGAAUUGCCUUUGAGACUGAGUGGCUUGAGUACGAGAGAGGUGAGUGGAAUUCCCAGUGUAGAGGUGAAAUUCGUAGAUAUUGGGAAGAACACCGGUGGCGAAGGCGGCUCACUGGCGCGUAACUGACGCUCAUGCACGACAGCGUGGGGAUCAAACAGG
rnacentral:rRNA from 1 species